rnacentral:rRNA from 1 species
UACGAAGGGGACUAGCGUUGUUCGGAAUCACUGGGCGUAAAGCGCACGUAGGCGGAUUUGUAAGUCAGGGGUGAGAUCCCGGGGCUCAACCUCGGAACUGCCUUUGAUACUGCGAAUCUUGAGUCCGAUAGAGGUGGGUGGAAUUCCUAGUGUAGAGGUGAAAUUCGUAGAUAUUAGGAAGAACACCAGUGGCGAAGGCGGCCCACUGGAUCGGUACUGACGCUGAGGUGCGAAAGCGUGGGGAGCAAACAGG